GGAUUGUUAGCUCAGUGGUUAGAGCGACAGGGGAUUAUAGCUCCUAGCCUGCAGGCCGUAGGUUCGAUUCCUACACAAUCCA
rnacentral:tRNA from 1 species